GCGCACGCUGGCGGCAGGCCUAACCCCUGCCAGUCGAACGAACCUUUCGGGGUUAGUGGCGGACGGGUGAGUAACACGUGGGAACGUGCCUUUAGGUUCGGAAUAACUCAGGGAAACUUGUGCUAAUACCGAAUGUGCCCUUCGGGGGAAAGAUUUAUCGCCUUUAGAGCGGCCCGCGUCUGAUUAGCUAGUUGGUUGAGGUAAUGGCUCACCAAGGCGACGAUCAGUAGCUGGUCUGAGAGGAUGAUCAGCCACAUUGGGACUGAGACACGGCCCAAACUCCUACGGGAGGCAGCAGUGGGGAAUCUUGCGCAAUGGGCGAAAGCCUGACGCAGCCAUGCCGCGUGAAUGAUGAAGGUCUUAGGAUUGUAAAAUUCUUUCACCGGGGACGAUAAUGACGGUACCCGGAGAAGAAGCCCCGGCUAACUUCGUG
rnacentral:rRNA from 1 species